rnacentral:rRNA from 1 species
UGAAAUAAUGAAAGAUUUACCUCUGCGAAAGCCUCUGCCAAGGAUGUUUUCAUUAAUCAAGAACGAAAGUUAGGGGAUCGAAGACGAUCAGAUACCGUCGUAGUCUUAACCAUCAACGAUGCCGACCAGCGAUUAGGAGACGUUGAAUACACAACACCACCAUCGGUGCGGUCGUCCUCGGCGUCGGUCUUUCGGGGCCGGCGCGGGGGCGGCUUAGCCCGGUGGCACCGGUGAAUGACUCCCCUAGCAGCUUGUGAGAAAUCAUAAGUCUUUGGGUUCCGGGGGGAGUAUGGUCGCAAGGCUGAAACUUAAAGGAAUUGACGGAAGGGCACCACCAGGAGUGGAGCCUGCGGCUUUAUUUGACUCAACACGGGGAAACUUACCAGGUCCGGACAUAGUAAGGAUUGACAGAUUUAUAGCUUCUUCCUGAUUCUAUGGGUGGGGUUUCAUGGCCGCCGAUAUUUGGUGGAAUGCCAGGCCAAACCC